CACUGAUUAAUCAAUAGAAAAAGAGAGAAAGUAAGAAAGGAAUAAGAAUGAAGGGCCUCAAGCCAAUAAGGCCUAGACCUCAGUCCUAAGAGAUAAAUCAGUCAGUUGGUUUUAUCACUCACCCAAGAUCUCUCUAGGUAAGUCUUCUCAUGCCAAUCUCAGGCUCCACCUACAAGAGAGCCUCCUUUCAAGAAAUGUUUCCAGAGAAUUCUCCUCCUGACUCCUCCUGAGUUCUCCUUCCACAGCCUCCUUCAAGACCUCUCCAGGAGCUCUCCCUCCAGGACCUCUCUCCUCUCAGACCUCCUUCAGAGCAUUCCUUCUCUCUCCUCUCCGACCUCCUUCAGAGCACAAAACUCCCUCUAGUCCUCAGACCGGCUAUCUUUAAGCAAACAAUCUAAGUUCCCUCCCCUCAGUUCUCACAUCUACCAAUCACUGUGGAUGUCUCCCCUGUGCCAAUGGUGGCUCUAGCUUAACCCAGGACCGCCCAGAGGUCUCUCCCCUUUGCACAUGUCUGUUGAAGGUCAUAUUCUCAAAUAAUUAAAUCUUGAUCUUUGCUGCAGCCCUUCCUAAAUCCUGUUACUCUGAGUAGGGUGGAGAUUGUAGUUUCCAAGACCUGGUUCUGUCAUUCCAAGUAUCUCUAUUGUAUCAAUUCUAAAAUCAAUCAUGACUCAAAGAAAUUCCUGUUCUAUGCUUAAGCAUAGGUCAAAGCCCUUUCCAUUGUUUAGCAAAAGGUUUCUGUCCUAAAGUAGUCUUAAGUAGGGAGGAGAAGGAUCCUCCCAUGCCAAGGAGUUUCACAUUCCAAUAGAGUUCUUACUAUCAGUAGGAAAUUUUUUCAAGUAUGAAAUUUCCCAAUGGGGAAAUUUCCAACAUUCAUAAGUCUAAGAAAUUUUAAGGUUUACAGGAGCCAAUACUUGGUAUUGAUUCUAAGUAAGGUUUGUGGUGCUCCUUGGAGAGCCGGGGAAUGUCCCAUAAGUACAGUCAUUCAACAGACAUCUUUGAUUGCCUCCCAUGUGUCAGCAACCGUGCCAAGCCCGAUCAGAUGGGGUCACAAGAUUGGGUGGUUUGGCUUAAAUGCGUUUCUUUCCGGAGCAGGUUCUGCUGCUGUUUCCUUUUUCUGGGAACCCGAAGGGCCACUGGAAUUCUCAGAGGGGAAAGAGAUCGCUGAGACAUCCGAGGUUCCGGCUCCUUCACGGCUGACUAUUUUCAACUAACCAAGAAGACUUUAUCUUCUUUUCGGCCCUGGGGCAGGGCGGUGGGAUGUGUCUUCUACCCUGAUAUGAGCAAUCCACAGGAGUGAGAUAAACAGACUCCAAUCAACAAAAUCUGAGUCAGAGAGGUCAAGGAGCCAGUUGAUUCUUUUCCCCCUGAGGAAAGGCAGAUGCCCCAAUGGCAAGUGCAAAGUGCAGGCAAAAUCGAGUUUUAUGGGUUCCUGAUCCAAGAUCUUGUAACCGGGAACAGGAAAAGGCACCCAGGGGCAGGAAGGGGCCCGGGAGUCUCUGGAUGCUCCCCUGCCUGUGAAGACUUGUGGUCCCUGCAAAGCCCAAGAAAGAAUAAAGUUUUCAAGUUUUAAAAGGCGGUGGAUGGC
ensembl:lncRNA